rnacentral:rRNA from 1 species
GUGCCAGCAGCCGCGGUAAUACGUAGGGGGCGAGCGUUGUCCGGAAUCAUUGGGCGUAAAGAGCGUGUAGGCGGCUUGGAAAGUCUUACGUGAAAGCCUGCGGCUCAACCGCAGAAGUGCGUAGGAAACUUCCUCGCUAGAGUCCGGAAGAGGAGAGCGGAAUUCCUGGUGUAGCGGUGGAAUGCGCAGAUAUCAGGAGGAACACCCGUGGCGAAGGCGGCUCUCUGGGACGGUACUGACGCUGAGACGCGAAAGCGUGGGGAGCGAACAGGAUUAGAUACCCUGGUAGUCC